AGGCCUAACACAUGCAAGUCGAGCGGUAACAGAAGAAAGCUUGCUUUCUUUGCUGACGAGCGGCGGACGGGUGAGUAAUGCCUGGGAAUAUGCCUUAGUGUGGGGGAUAACUAUUGGAAACGAUAGCUAAUACCGCAUAACGUCCUUGUUCAUUACGAGCGGGACCAAAGAGGGGGACCUUCGGGCCUCUCGCGCUAAGAUUAGCCCAGGUGGGAUUAGCUAGUUGGUGAGGUAAAGGCUCACCAAGGCAACGAUCCCUAGCUGGUCUGAGAGGAUGAUCAGCCACACUGGAACUGAGACACGGUCCAGACUCCUACGGGAGGCAGCAGUGGGGAAUAUUGCACAAUGGGGGAAACCCUGAUGCAGCCAUGCCGCGUGUAUGAAGAAGGCCUUCGGGUUGUAAAGUACUUUCAGUCGUGAGGAAGGCAUUGUAGUUAAUAGCUGCAGUGCUUGACGUUAGCGACAGAAGAAGCACCGGCUAACUCCGUG
rnacentral:rRNA from 1 species